AGUGGUCAAAAAUCAGAUCCAAAGGGUUGGAUCUAAGAGAUCAAAUAUCAGAUCUAAAGAAUGGUUCCUAAAGUUCAAAUGUUGGAUAGCAAGAGGACUGAGAGACAUGAUGAUUAAUAUAUCCAAGAGAGGAAAGAAAGGAGAGAGAGAAUUAUCAAGAGUUGGUAAUGCAGGAUAGGAGCAGCUGUUGAAAUUCUUAAGAAGAAAAUUCAGUGAAUCCAGAUUAAGAAGAGUCCUAGAUCGAGAUCUAUAUGGAUCACCAUUGGAGGGCAUACGCUUGAGUUCCUCGAGG
rnacentral:lncRNA from 1 species